rnacentral:rRNA from 1 species
CGGUAACUCCAGCUCCAAUAGCGUAUACUAAUGUUGUUGCAGUUAAAAAGCUCGUAGUCGGAUUUCAGUAUUAGAUUCUUCUUCCUAAUUGGUUGUUUGAAUCUUUACUUCUUUAACAGAAUCUUUCAUCUCAUUAAUUUGGGGUGUUUGGGGCCUGUUUCUUUUACUUUGAGAAAAUUAGAGUGUUCAAAGCGGGUUUUCGCCUGGAUAUUACUCUUGGAAUAAUAAUAUAGGACUUUGGUUCUUUUUUGUUGGUGACUUAGAACCGAAGUAAUGAUUGAUAGGGACAGUUGGGGUCAUUCGUACUAUGAAGCGAGAGGUGAAAUUCUUGGACCUUUGUAUGACGAACUACUGCGAAAGCAUUUGACUAGGAUGUUCCCGUUGAUCAAGAACGAAAGUUGGGGGAUCGAAGACGAUCAGAUACCGUCGUAGUCUCAACCAUAAACUAUGCCAGCUAGGGAUUGGAGGAUGAUUCUUUUACGUCUCCUUCAGCACCUUAUGAGAAAUCAAAGCAUUUGGGUUCCGGGGGGAGUAUGGUCGCAAGGCUGAAACUUAAAGGAAUUGACGGAAGGGUAUUACCAGGCGUGGAGCCUGUGGCUUAAUUUGACUCAACACGGGAAAACUUACCAGGUCCAGACAUAGGAAGGAUUGACAGAUUGAUAGCUCUUUCUUGAUUCUGUGGGUGGUGGUGCAUGGCCGUUUUUAGUCGGUGAAGUGAUUUGUCUGCUUAAUUGCGUUAACGGACGAGACCCCAGCCUGCUAAAUAGCGCGGCCGAGCUUUGCUCGGUACGAGCUUCUUAGAGGGACCAUGAUGCGCGAUAGCACAAGGAAGUUUGGGGCAACAACAGGUCUGUGAUGCCCUUAGAUGUUCUGGGCCGCACACGGGCUACACUGGCGCCUGCAACGAGCAUAUCAGCUGGCCCGAGAGGGUCUUGGCUAAUCUUUGGAACCGGCGCCGUGCUUGGGAUUGACCAUUGCAAUUGUUGGUCAUGCAACGAGGAAUGCCUCGUAAACGCGAGUCAUCAGCUCGCAUUGAAUACGUCCCUGCCCUUUGUACACACCGCCCGUCGCUCCUACCGAUGAAUGUUCCGAUGAAAUUUUCGGAGAGCGCCGGAGAACGGGGCUCUGCCCUGCAGAACUGGAGGCUCAAAGUCACUUAAAUCUGAACAUUUCGAGGAAGGAGAAGUCGUAACAAGGUAACC